rnacentral:rRNA from 1 species
CCCUAUUAUAUUUAAUGUAAAUUUAAUUUUGAGUAGUAAAUAAUUUGGGCAGGAAACUUAAAGAAUUUGGCGGUGUAUAUUCUAAUUAGAGGAAUAUGUUUUUUAAUUGAUAAUUCACAAUUAUUUUGCUUAGUUUAAUUUAUUUUGUAUAUCUCCGUCUUAAAAAAAUAUUUUUAAAUAAUUUUUUUAUUUUUUAAAAGAAAAAAAGUCAGGUCAAGAUGCAGAUGAUAAUUAAGUUGAAAUGUAUUACAAUAAUGAUAUUUUUUGGAUUAAGCUUGAAAAAGGUUUAUAAAAUUGGAUUUAUAAGUAAAUUCUUUUAAAUGAUAAUUAAUUGAAUAAUGUUAAUAUAUAUGUACACAUCCC